rnacentral:lncRNA from 1 species
CUUGUUUUGGACCCCUUUGGAUCCCUAAUUCCUAAACCCCCAUAACCACCAAAAAUUAAUCCCAACCUUCCUUUUGUGGUUAUAAACAUUGUGUUAAGGAUGUCUGCUUGUCAUGUUUUGGAAUUUUUGUCAGAUUUUCGGAAUCCUCUGGUUUUAUCCAUUUGGAUGCCUUAAAACAAUUUCCCCAUGAACCCCCAUUUUUCUUUUUAUAAAUCUUUCACAAGUAUAAUUAUAAGUCAUUUGUAAAAGUGUUAUAAAAUUUUAUUUAUUUUUUAAUAGUAUUUGAGAACUUUAACGGUCAAUGAUAAAGCUAUGAAAAAUCAAGAGAGAACAUUUACCCGCCAAAAUUCCAAUGGCUAAUAUCUCGAUAACAAGCACAUUGACCCCUAUAUUUUUUUUGCUUUUUUGAUUCCUCAAUUUAUUCGCUAUCAAUACAUACUAGUUUCAUGAAAAGUUAUUUAUUUUGAAACUGAGCAGCGAAC